rnacentral:rRNA from 1 species
CAGCAGCGGCGGUAAUACAGAGGGUGCGAGCGUUAAUCGGAUUUACUGGGCGUAAAGCGUGCGUAGGCGGCUUCUUAAGUCGGAUGUGAAAUCCCUGAGCUUAACUUAGGAAUUGCAUUCGAUACUGGGAAGCUAGAGUAUGGGAGAGGAUGGUAGAAUUCCAGGUGUAGCGGUGAAAUGCGUAGAGAUCUGGAGGAAUACCGAUGGCGAAGGCAGCCAUCUGGCCUAAUACUGACGCUGAGGUACGAAAGCAUGGGGAGCAAACAGGAUUAGAUACCCCCGUAGUCCCUGUCUCUUAUAC